GAUGAAGAACGCAGCGAAAUGCGAUACGUAAUGUGAAUUGCAGAAUUCAGUGAAUCAUCGAGUCUUUGAACGCACAUUGCGCCCUCUGGAAUUCCGGAGGGCAUGCCUGUCCGAGCGUCAUUGCUGCCCUCAAGCACGGCUUGUGUGUUGGGCCCCGCCCCCCGAUCCCGGGGGGCGGGCCCGAAAGGCAGCGGCGGCACCGCGUCCGGUCCUCGAGCGUAUGGGGCUUUGUCACCCGCUCUGUAGGCCCGGCCGGCGCUUGCCGAUCAACCAAACUUUUUUCCAGGUUGACCUCGGAUCAGGUAGGGAUACCCGCUGAACUUAAGCAUAUCAAUAAGCGGAGGA
rnacentral:misc_RNA from 1 species